GGUGCCAACAUAUUCCACCAUUGGAUCGAUUCCCUUUUCUCAAGCGUCUCAAUCUUCACAACUUAAGUUCGCUGGAGUACAUGAGCAAUGAUGCUAGUGACAUGUCCUCUUCUCCCCUUGAAAUUCUCACUCUUUCGAACUUGCCUAAGUUGAGGGGAUGGUGGAGGAUGAGGGAAAAAGUAUCAGUAACAGCAGAGCCUGCGCCACAUCAUCAUCUUCCAUUAUUCCCAUCAUUUCCUUGCCUUUCUUCUUUAUGUAUUAGUGAUUGCCCUAUGAUCUCUCUAAUACCAGUCAUAUCACCCUCCGCUUCCUCUCCAUUUUCCGAUCUUUCCAAAUUGAAGUCUCUUUUUCUUAUGGGAUUUGAGGAACUUGAAUAUCUUCCAGAAGAGUGGCUGCAAAACCUCACUUCUCUUGUGACUCUGAAGAUUUUGUGGUGCAGUAAAUUGCGAAUAUCCUUAUCUCCACUCUUUCAACAUCUCACCACACUUGAAGAUUUGUGUAUUGCUGGCUGAGAGGAACUUUUCAACAAUGUGAAUGAAGAUGGCACACAUUGCCUUUGACCUACAAGAGUUGGUCAUCUAUCUAUAGUACAAGUUCCAAACUUGGUUUCUCUCCCAAGAGAGCUUAGAGAUGUUACCACUCUGCAAGGGCUUCAAAUUAUGGACUGCCCUAGUUUGGUGUCUUUGCCAGAGUGGAUUGGCAACCUCACUUCACUUCAGAAGCUUGGAAUCAUCAAUUGUCCCAAUUUAAUAUCAUUGCCUGAAGGGGUGCGCCGGCUCACUUCUUUACGUCGUUUGAGGAUUGCAAAAUGUCCUCACUUGGAAGAAAGAUGUCAACAAUGAAUAGGAGAGGAUUGGCCAAAGAUUGCUCACGACCCAAACUUUCAAAAUGGCGACGAUAUUGGUAAUCGUAUGGGAUGGAUGCAAAGCCAAACUCGCCAAAUUGCUCAGGUUUUUAAGUCACCAAUUAGAGAGUAAUUUUCUUCUUCUUGUUGUUCAUCUUCUUUAUACUGUGUCAAGCUUUUGAUUUCAUAUGCAGAUCAGAAGGUUUUAUGUAUAGACGCUUCUUCAGACCUUGCCAACAAUCAAAUUUGUGCUAAGCUCUAAGAUUUUUGCAAUUCAUGAAAUGGAUUUUGGGUAUGACAAUCUCACUGCUUCCAAGAGAGUUGAGUUUGACCGGUUAUACCCACUCCACUUACUUAUAAGAAGACAGACAAACAAGAGACUUGGAUUGGCUUUUAAUGAUCUUCUCAAAGAUCACACGGUGCUGAAACUUGGAGUGGAUCUGGAGACUUAUGUGAAAAGGGUGUUUCCAUGCUUCCACCUUCUCUUGCCUUGCAAUUGUGCCAUUUUCACUCAACAUGCUCCUUACUCAAAAAGUCUCAUUUCAAAACAGAGG